UACGGAGGGUGCAAGCGUUAUCCGGAUUCACUGGGUUUAAAGGGUGCGUAGGUGGGUUGGUAAGUCAGUGGUGAAAUCCCCGAGCUUAACUUGGGAACUGCCGUUGAUACUAUAUAUCUUGAAUGCUGUGGAGGUAAGCAGAAUAUGUCAUGUAGCGGUGAAAUGCUUAGAGAUGACAUAGAAUACCUAUUGCGAAGGCAGCUUACUACGCAGAUAUUGACGCUCAUGCACGAAAGCGUGGGGAUCAAACAGG
rnacentral:rRNA from 1 species